CAGCGUCGUCUUUAAAUCCUUAAUUCAACAGAAUCGUUCUGCGAUAAAUAGUUUGCUGUUAUUCUUUUUCUUGUACUAACUCAUUUGACAACUAGAUGUCGCCAUUCCUCUCCUGUUGGUUUCCCAGAGGCGCCUCGAAGCUCUCCUCGUUAUUGGACCUAAAUUGACGCAAACUGCCCAUCAGCUCAUACAGAACAACUUCCGGCUCGGUCACAUGUGCACUAUUGCAACAAUAAUGUGAAUUAGGUAAUGAAUUGAAGUCUGACCUCCAACAGGAUGAGGAAGAAGAGGAGGAAGCAGCAGCAGUACUUAUCCAGGUCUAUUUUGUUGCGCGGAGGUGGACGCUGCUUGGUUUUUGGAAACGUUCAGAGUUUGUGGCCCUUCCUCAGAAAACACCUGUAGAAAAUCUGUGUUCACUCUUCAAUGUUGCAGUGCACCGGACAUCCCCCUGGGAACUUGUCACAUUGUGUUGCAUGUGGAACUUGCCUUGGUCUUUAUUUAGCCUGGCAUAUCUCCACGUCACAAGAUCUCUGUCCAUAUGACCAAGGGCACGUUGCAGCUAUUGUCAAAGUGGUGAAAGGAGCCACUGUGUUGUGGGGACUGGAAGCUGGAUGGGUGGAAUUGGACAAAUGUACUUUUAAGUCAUCAGGGUCUGUGGUGGUUUCAGAGAGCUGUGAAGUUCAUGUCAAAGAGGAGCGUCUGCUGAGAUCUGUGUCCUGGAGCGAGGAUGGGAGGGCAGCUGUCGGUGCCAGAAGACCCGGAGCGAUCGCUGGAUGUGCUGUCGACAAUCAGUGAUGACAUCAUGCAUGGGGAAGAUGGUCCUCGGUGUGCUGCAGAAAUCGGAUCUGAACUCCAGAAACAGUUUGCCAUCCUGCCAG